CGUGUAGGCGGUUUCGUAUGUCUGGCGUGAAAGCCCCGGGCUCACCUCGGGAAGUGCGUCGGAAACUGCGAGACUAGAGUCCCGGAGAGGGAGGUGGAAUUCCAGGUGUAGCGGUGAAAUGCGUAGAUAUCUGGAAGAACACCGGUGGCGAAAGCGGCCUCCUGGACGGUGACUGACGCUGAGACGCGAAAGCGUGGGGAGAAAC
rnacentral:rRNA from 1 species